CAUCAAUGACGUUCUUUAUCUGUAAAAAUGUCAUAACUUUUGUUGACACCGGUGUGUGAAUAAUCAUGUUAAAACACAGAAGCUUUUGAAUGCAAAAAACAUCUUUAUAUUUAUUUUUUAUUACUUGGCUGAUACACGGAAGAGUUAUAUGAAAAAUGCAAUGGUUUGAUUUGUUUAUGGCUCAUAAAACAGGGAUUUUUAUGCACCCAUUCUUUGGUUUUUGGAGGGCAAUAAUAUAAUGAUACCAUAAGAACACAAGAUAAUAUCUAUAAUUUUUUUUAUUAUUUGCAUAUUCUUUAAUAUUUCUUUAAGAACAAAUGAACAGCUGAUUUGCCAUAGAGAGUAUAUAUGCGCUACUGGAUGCGGUGGUAGAUGCAAUUAUAUAUUAUAUAUGUAAUGUACUCUUUAAAUGAUAUAAAACUGUCUUUAAAAGCUCUGCUAAAAUUCAGACAAUAUUGACAUCGAAAAACAAAUGCCAACUACCACCACUAAGUCAACCCGGCGUAUACAUUAUCCCAUGCAAAUGCGGCAAAAAAUAUUUUGGGGAGACGAAGUUGGGAAUCGCUACCCGCUUCGAACAACACAAAGACACCAACAUUAAAGGAAAGUGGAGCGCAUCAGGAGAUUCAUUUCACUCUAGUUCUUGUAAUGCUGGUUAUGAUUGGGACAAUGCGAAAAUGCUUAACAAGAAUUUAAUAAAUUUGAUCGUAAGUUAUAAAGAUAAAGAACCAAUAUUGAACUAAACUGCUAAGUUGACAUGAACGCUGCUAGAAAAUAUCCACAUUGAUGCAACACAUUCCAACUGCUUGGCGAGAUUCGUGAACCAUGCCCAUCCCGGUGUGCCAAUUGUAAAAUGGUGUUACUGGUUCGUGACAAAGUGCCGUAUCUAGGCUUAAAGUCUCUAAAACUCAUAAAGACUAAUGAAGAGCUUAGAUACGAUUAUGGUGAUAAAUGCAUGUUGUCUUUGAGAAAGCAGAAGAACUUGUGUGUGCCAUUACAUUUAAAAGAUAUAGAGAAUCAGCUAAAAAAGAUCUCCCAUGCAAGUAUUCUGAAACUGAAGGAAGGGCAAAAAACUGUAAUUGAGGUAGAAGUAUUAAAAGAGCCUUACAUGAUUAUCAGAGAUCGUGAAAAUUUGUUCAAGCCAUUAAUAUAUAAGACGAAGAUCCCUAAUCUUCACUUUGAAAAGGGUUGUCUGUUUGAAAUCGACAAGGAAAUCACAAGACAUGACUCGUGUGAUACAAGGCAUCUUAACAGUUCACAUCUAAAUUAGUAUUCUCUAUGGUGCUCUUUUUUAUUCCUAGGGUCACUAUUUUAAAGUAAGAGUCUGUGUGUUUUAAUUUUAUGCUAACUACAACUUCUUAACUGUUUCUGGAAAAGCAUUACUUGGUGCUUUGCAGCUAGUGGGCGGCAAAAAACUUUUUUUAUGGUAUGACAAAUCAACAACGUAGAAAAUGCCUAGAUGUAUUUUCUACAAUUCCUGCAUUACACGUUGUUUUUUGAAAGGUAACCGUAUUUUGACCUGAGCCUCAAUUUUCUUUGCAAAAUGACUGAAUAUAGGCUCAAAUUUUCUUAUUUUAUUCUUAUUUUUUAUUCCUCUUUGUUUUCUUUAUAAAUAACUACUAUAUUUUAUCGACAUUUGAAAUAACAUUUUUAUUGAAGAAAAAAAGACCUCUUUUGUUAUUUUGGGAUAAAACUUUGUUAGUAAUUAAUUCCACUAUUUUGAAUACAUUUUGCCUCCAGAGAUCCAUGAAUGCUGUAUAGCUACUUUACUGAAAAAAAAGAAACUUGAUUGUGUUCUUCUGAAAUUACGGUGAUUUUGGUAACUGUAAAUCUAAAUAUCAAGAUCUUUAAAAAUUGAAUCUUGACAAGCUGAAACUGGGGAUUUUCCUAAAAUGUUUUUACGAUUUCAAGGUUUUUGAGCGUCAUCUAAUAAUCUACACAUUUGUAAAAGAAAGCGCAAAAGUAUUCGUUUUAUCAUAACUCCAACAACGUCUCUUAAGAUCCUUUCUAUUAAUGUUCACGUAAUAAAUAUGUUCUUCCUAGACCUCAAGAUGUUGCCGAUGAUGGCUUUUGUGAAUGUUGCAAGAUACGUUACACAUCACUACAACAUGUAUAUGUGCUGGCUUAAUUGCAAAGAUGAUUCACUAGCGAAAGUGUAGGGAGUCAGAACACUAUAUAUGGAAUAGGAACAUCUGGUUCAGAGCUGCCAAAAUUUAUCUGUUCUUCCAUCCACGAUAUUUAUUGAACAUUUGCAACAAACAUGCAUCAAACAUUCGCAAUAAGAUGAAAAUAAAUUUACACAAGUUAUUGACUUGAUCAAUUUAUGGCUUGAAAUUCAUUAAAAGUAUUAUAGAACAUUCAAUUUAUUGUUAGGUUAUGCUAUAAAUGUUUUUCUAUUUACAAAACAUAGCAUUUUAAUUGUAAUUCAUAUUUCUUCUUAUUGGAAAAAAGAUUAUAUUUUAUUAUAUA